GUGAAUCAUCGAAUCUUUGAACGCACAUUGCGCCCCGUGGUAUUCCGCGGGGCAUGCCUGUUCGAGCGUCAUUUCACCACUCCCGCCUGGCGGGGUAUUGGGCGCCGCGGUCCCCCCCGCGCGCCUCAAAGUGCUCCGGCUGAGCCGUUCGUCUCCCAGCGUUGUGACACAGUUUCGCGGCGGAGUGCGAGCGGCCGCGGCCGUUAAAUCUUUACAUCAGGUUGACCUCGGAUCAGGUAGGGAUACCCGCUGAACUUAAGCAUAUCAAUAAGCGGAGGA
rnacentral:misc_RNA from 1 species